rnacentral:tRNA from 2 species
GUCCUCGUAGCUCACUUGGAUAGAGUACGUCCCUCCGAAGGACGGGGUAGUGCGUUCGAAUCGCAUCGAGGACGCCA